CCUUCCAGACUCAAUAAAAUACCAGUCAUGUACUGGCAUCGAUGGUUUUGAUUUCCCAGCUCCUUAAAAUUGCUGGCAUUGUGCCUAAAUUAGAAAUUAUUUUUGUUUUUGUUGAUUUUGGCAUUGAAUAAUUAUUACUCGCACUCUGCUAGUUAUGACAGUGAAGGUUCCAGUUGAUUUAGUCAACGGGGCAGUGCCUGUGAAAUUAAUGUGCAAGUGGAUGAGUACCCCACAGACGGGGAUACCCUUAAUGUAGUUCUCAGGAGUUGCAAAUGUAGCCUGAGAAAUCUGGACAUUUUUUUUGGUUAUGCUCCAUAGCAUAAAAAAAAGGGCUAAUUUAUUAUUCUUUGUUAUUAUUGGGGAUUCUAAUUAUUUAUUUGUGAAUAUGCAUAAGAACUUGCAGGUAUGUGUACCUCAAGGAAAUGGUAUCUUUGUGAGGCAAGAGUAUUCGUGUUGGGUAGAUCUGCUGAAUUCCUUCCUUAUUAUUCCUGAAUCCAGAAAUAUCUUGUGUGAACAUUAAAAGCGUGAAAUAAGUCUUAGAGCUUAAAGGAUUAACACCACAGAGGUUGGAAUUUAAAUACCAUCUCUGGGUUUUAUGAAAGGAUUUACUUUUAACCUCGUUUUGCUACCGUUUCUGAGAAUCUCUCUGACCAGCGUUAUUUGUUUAGUCGAAUUUCUAUAAACAAAAUACACCACAUUCACCAACAACUGUGACCUACACACAUUUUCUGGUUAUUUUCCCAAGAGAUGUUCAACCUGUUUUUUUUUUGUUUUUUUGCUUUUUUUUCUGUUUUUUUUUUGUUUGUUUUUUUAUUAUCCUUGAUGCCACAGCGUGUAUCUCAGCAUAUAGUCAUACAGUCAUACAAUGGCAGAUCGGUGACACUAAUUGAAGGACCUGGAAUGCGAACUAUUAAAAGGUUGUAAGUCAAUGGCGCUGGUGAUGUUGACGGAUCAUCAUCGCAAUCGUUGUCACCUUCACCACCCAGCCCCCCCCACCCUCUCCAAACCGUUAUCGCCACCACCAAUGCUACUUCUUGCGCCACCAUCAGCAACACCAGACACCAAUACCACCAAUACAUUACAGAUGAACGCCCGACGUAGCAGAAUUGUAUAUUAAAUUGUAAAAUUGUAAAAUUGUAUUCUAAAUUAAACUGCGAGUUUUGGGGGGCUCGUAAGCCGUUCCAUUUGAUUCAUUACAAAUAAUUCAUAUUUUUCGAUUUUUUUUAUUAUAUGUACCCCAUGUCCUGUUUUGUAAUGUCCCCUCUUAAUUCGGGCCUUAGUGCCUAUAAUAAAGAUAAAACCAAUACCACCUCGUCGUCACCACCACCACCUUCAAUAUUGAGAGUAUGAUAUUUCUGCAAGUCAAUUUAUUUGAAAAAACCAACUCGGCUAGUCAACUCUCUCUUGCACCCAUCCAGAGCUUUAACCUUCACCAGCUCAAAGAGCAAUAAGAAGUAUCUUUGCAAAGGAAUGUUUAUUGACAUUUUUAAGCAGAUUGAAAUAAUCUAUCUUGCCAAAUACUUCCUUUUAUAAAAGGAUUAACCGUUGUUUAGCCCUACCUAGAUUAGCCUUGACCAAAGGAGUUCAAACUUUGGUCAGCCUUUUUUGUUUUGGAGUAUUCAUUAUUAUUAUUAUUAUCAUUGUUUAUUUUUAAAAUGACACAAUAAGAUAGCUAUGAAUGACCAUAUCUGACUAGUUUGAACAUAAAAUAGGUAGAAUAUUUUGGCCGGAUAGGGCCGGUUUAAACACUAAAGGGUUAAAACAUAAAACAUGCAAGCACCAAUAAGAAUUUGAAUAUGCAGCAGUUUUGAAAAGUUCUAACAUGAUUUUUGUGGGAUUUUUUUUUUUUACUUUUACUCUCAAUAAGAAUUCCCUUUAAGUACAUGCUAUCAUCCUAUACACAGUUGUGUGCAGGAAUUCACACACACACAGACACUUCCCUUGCUUGAUUUUGAACUUGAAUUUUUUUUUCUUCUUUGCUAUAUUUCAAAUAGAGAGAUUCAGCUCCUAUGAAGUGGCAGCAAAGUUUUAAUUAAGGAUUGGUGAAACUUGUGCAUUACAGAGAAUAUGUAUGUGUGUAUGGUAUAUGCGUGUGUCUAUAUUAUGUGUGUGUGUACAUAUAAAAGCUUAAAAUCCAUUUUAGGGAAGUGUUUGUACACAUCGUCAUUGCCAUUACUGUUUUAGAAAGCGAAAUAAUGCAGCAGGGCGAAGAUUAAGGAUUAAAUAUAAAUAAGGAUAAAGAUUAUGCUUUUACCUUAAUGCAUUUAAUAAUGCAAAUAUUUCAGGUGAAAAAUCUCCUUCCAAAAAGUUCAGAGAAUGGGAGAAAAUAUGAAGGCUUGUUGUGGAUUCAUGUCUUCAUGACAAAAGUGAGAGACCCACAUGUUGUUCAGCAUUUGGAAAGUGGGUUUGUAAAUUGCAUGGCAAGGGGUAAUUAAUUACUCAGAUGACAUAAGCUCACAACCACAUCUGCGAUGCAGGUGUGGGUAGAUGACCAGUGUUUAUAGAUUACUAGCAGUAUCGCCCGGCGUUGCUCGGGUUUGUAAGGGAAAUAACUAUAUAAGCAUUUUUAGAGAUGUAAAGUAUAAUAGCCAUCUCAAUAUGGCUAACCACAAAGGGGGGGGUGUUACUGUAGCUUUUUUACGUUCUGAGAUUUAAUACAUUUUUAGAGAGUUACUUCCCUUAUAUAUGCCAAAAAUGCAUUAAAAAUGGGAAAAAUUGAUGGUAAAUUUUUUUUAAACCGUAGACUCAUCGUAGACGCGCGCUAAUACCCAGAAGGGCUCGAUAUGAAUCACGACUAUAAGAUACCCGGUUUUGGUUAAACUGCACCGCAAAAUGUGGGAGUAGUUAGGAAUCUAAAUCAUAGGAAACAGACAGCACACAACCUCACUUUUAUAUAUAAAGAUUGGUAUUGUAGUGGUGAUGUUGGUGGUGGUGGUGGUGGUGGAAGUUUCUCCUUCUGUAGGCAUUUCUGUGAAGGAGUUUCUGAACGGACCGGCUUUCUAUCCAGCUCUCCUCCUUACCGAUAGUUAUCAAUUGUGGUUGCCUCGAUGGUGCAGUCGGUCGGUGCAUCAUACUUAGAGACAGCAUCUUCACUGUUAAAAGACACACAGGAGGAAUGCGGAGGAGACUGUGAGUUCAAACCACACCCAAGCACUGAUAUAUUUUGAGUGGCAGCAAGGCUGGGUGGAUAAAAAAGUUGCUUUGCAACCAACUGGUGCAACCUGUUGUUGAAUGGUAUUGGUGGAUAUGCACAAAGACACACACAUGCACAUGUUGUACAUUUGUGUGUGUGUGUGUGUAUGUAAAAGCAAAAAUGCUAUUUAUAAAAUCUUUCUUAUCUUAGAGAUCAACACAGUAGUUGUACUGACAAGUAAUGUUCGUAGCCACUUUAACCCUUUCGUUUCCAACCCGGCUGAAACCGGUUCUGGCUCUCAGUAUAAAUGUCUUGUUUUCAUAAGUUCUGAAUUAAAAUCUUCCACCAAACCUUAGUCACAAUUUAUGUUCGUAACGCUAACUUAAUGAUAACUAAGUUAUUUUACUAAAUCCUUUGUUAUAUUUAAAGUAAUUGAAAGAAACACAUAGCAUCUCAAAAUAAAUACAGUAACAAAAGGGUUAACAAAUGAUAAAUUUAACCCUUUCAAUACCAACCCGGCUGAAACCAGCUCUGGCUCUGAGUACAAAUGUCUUGUUUCCAUAAGUUUUCAAUUAAAAUCUUCCAUCAAACCUUAGUCACAAUUUAUGUUCCCUAACACUAGCUGAAUGAUAACUAAGCUAUUUUACUAAAUUCUUUGUUAUAUUUAAAGUAAUUGAAAGAAACACAGAACAUCUCAACAGAAAUAUGGUAACAAAAGGGUUAACAAAUGAUUAAUUUAACCCUUUUAAUACCAACCCGGCUGAAACCAGCUCUGGCUCUGAGUACAAAUGUCUUGUUUCCAUAACUUUUCAAUUAAAAUCUUCCAUCAAACUUUAGUCACAAUUUAUGUUCCCUAACACUAACUUAAUGAUAACUAAGUUAUUUUACUAAAUCCUUUGUUAUAUUUAAAGUAAUUGAAAGAAACACAGAGCAUCACAAAAUAAAUACAGUAAUGAAAGGGUUAAAUAUAUAAUAGAGAAACAAUUCUUAACCCUUUUAAUACCAACCCAGCUGAAACCACUUCUGGCUCUGUAGUACAAAUGUCUUGUUUUCAUAAGUUCUGAACUAAAAUCUUCCAUCAAACCUUAGUCACAAUUUAUGUUCCUAACACUAGCCUAAUGAUAACUAAGUUAUUUUACUAAAUCCUUUGUUAUAUUUAAAGUAAUUGAAAGAAACACAGAGCAUCUCAAAAUAAAUACAGUAACGAAAGGGUUAACAUGUGGCUGUCCGUUUGAACUGACUCUACUCCGAUUUCUAACCCUAAUGUAUGUGUGUGUGUGUGUGUAUUCAUAUGAGGGAGUUCUGAAAAGCACCUGAAUUUAAGGGUAUCCUGAAAGGCAUGGUUGGAGGCCCAAACAUUGGAGUUCUUUUACAGGGCUUAGAAAAACUGAAGGAUUGCUGCUAUAAGUGUGUGAACCUGAGAGGUGGGAAAUAUGCCGAAUAUAAUCAUAAUUAACUGAUCUUCGUGUAUUUUCUUUAACCCAAAGCUAGGAACUUUUCAGUACCACCUCGUAUAGGCGCAGGAGUGGCUGUGUGGUAAGUAGCUUGCUAACCAACCACAUGGUUCCAGGUUCAGUCCCACUGCGUGGCAUCUUGAGCAAGUGUCUUCUGCUAUAGCCCCGGGCCGACCUAUGCCUUGUGAGUGGAUUUGGUAGACGGAAACUGAAAGAAGCCUGUCGUAUAUAUGUAUAUAUAUAUAUAUAUAUAUAUAUAUAUAUAAGUGUGUGUGUAUAUGUUUGUGUGUCUGUGUUUGUCCCCCUAGCAUUGCUUGACAACCGAUGCUGGUGUGUUUACGUCCCCGUCACUUAGCGGUUUGGCAAAAGAGACCAAUAGAAUAAGUACUGGGCUUACAAAGAAUAAGUCCUGGGGUCGAUUUGCUCGACUAAAGGCGGUGCUCCAGCAUGGCCGCAGUCAAAUGACUGAAACAAGUAAAAAGAGAGUAAAGAGUAUACACACACACACACACUGAACUUCCAUAUAGUUGCCGUCUAUCAAGUUCAUUCAUAAAAUGUUGUUUUUUUUUUGUUUUAAUUUCAAUUCUGACCUAAGUAGGGUUUUGAAUGAUAGAAUUUCAGUGAACUUUAAUGUUUAGUCUUUCUUGGGAUACAAAUAUAUAUAUAUAUAUAUUAGCAUUAUAAAAGUCCUGACAAUUUAAUAUUAUAUGAUGAAAUCACUCCCUUGAGAUCUUUUGUUUGGGGGACAAUAUCUGGAAAUUUUAUUUACUGUCAAAUUCAUGAACAAAACACUACUAAAUUCUGACAUGUUGUAAAAAUACAAUGGAAGAGACUUGACCUAUUAAAACUUUGAAAGAAAACCCAUUAUCCCCCACAAUACACACACCAAAACCAUUUUUGUAUGAAUAAUCCUCAUAUAAUAGUCCUAUACCAUGACACAUAUCAAACCUGUUAUACCUAGGUAUUUAGAGAGAGCGGGAGAGAGAGAGAGAGAGAGGGGUGAGGUGCAUGUUAAGCAAUUUCUAGAAGAAAUUUCAAGGUUUGCUGUUGUUGUUGUUGUUGUUGUUUGUAGCUCUCACAGCAUUGUAUUAGGAACCUGUGCUUACCCAGAAUUCAUCACUUCAGAACAAUCAGGUCUUUAUUUUCUUUCCUGUAGCGAUUUAUUGAAUGCCUUGUUAUUCCUGACCCUAACUUACUUAAUAGUGAGAAGGGAGUGAAUACCCCGAGGAGGGAAUGGUUACCUUCUCCCAGCUAUUUUUCCUUUGGAUUAACUACAAGCAGAGAGUUCAGUUCUGUAAGGUAAAUUAAAGCAAUCAGUAAUUAAAAAAAAAAUUAUUGUUUUGUAUAUCACUUGUUUUCAGUCAUUGGACUGUGGCCUUGAUGAGGCCCUACCUUGAAAGAGCAACCUUCAGCACUAUUUUUUUGUUAUAUCUGGUAUUCUGUAAGUCUCUUUUUGCUGAGCUGCUAAGUUCCAGGGAUGUAAGCAAACCAACACUGGUUGUUUGUCCUCCCUGUGUUUAGCUCGUUGUGGGUAGUAAAGAAAUAGGUAUUUCGUCUGAGUUCAAAUUCCGCCGAGGUGGACUUUGCCUUUCAUCCUUCCGGGGUCGAUAAAUUAAGUACCAGUUAUGCCCUGGGGUUGAUGUAAUCGACUUAAUCCGUUUGUCCUCCCUGUGUUUAGCCCGUUGUGGGUAGUAAAGAAAUAGGUAUUUCGUCCGAGUUCAAAUUCCGCCGAGGUUGACUUUGCCUUUCAUCCUUCCGGGGUCGAUAAAUUAAGUACCAGUUAUGCUCUGGGGUUGAUAUAAUCGACUUAAUCCGUUUGUCUGUCCUUGUUUGUCCUCCUUGUGUUUAGCCCGUUGCGGGUAGUAAAGAAAUAGGUAUUUCGUCUGAGUUCAAAUUCUGCCGAGGUGGACUUUGCCUUUCAUCCUUCCGGGGUCGAUAAAUUAAGUACCAGUUAUGCACUGGGGUUGAUGUAAUCGACUUAAUCCAUUUGUCUGUCCUUGUUUGUCCUCCCUGUGUUUAGCCCGUUGUGGGUAGUAAAGAAAUAGGUAUUUCGUCUGAGUUCAAAUUCCGCCGAGGUCGACUUUGCCUUUCAUCCUUUCGGGGUCGAUAAAUUAAGUGCCAGUUAUGCACUGGGGUUGAUAUAAUCGACUUAAUCCGUUCAAAAUGAUACACUUAGACAUGUACAGGCACACAGAGCAAAUUAUGAGGUAAAAUGAAUAACUGAAGGAUGAUAAAAAUGAAACGCAAAAAGAAAAUGGAGCCAACCCAGCAGCAGAAAUGAAACAGAAUUUAAUCCUGUAUUUUUUGACAGGUACUAUGCUAGUAUAUAUACAUACACACAUUAUUACCUCGGCCUUAGUGAAGGUAGAGGUAUUGUUUUCAGUCGUGUUUGUUUGUCCAUGGACAAGAUGUCUCAAGAACCACUGGAUGGAUUCGGAUGAAGCUUUAUUAUUAAUUUUAUUCGCGUUUCUAUCUUAGUAGAAUCUGAUGGAUAAAGAAAUCAAUCUACAUAAACAAAACGGUAGCAAAAACCAUUCAGAAAUUAAAUAACACUAACAUAUUUUAGUGAUAUAUACCUUUAUAUAUAAAAGUCAAGUUGUGUGUCUGUCUCCUACGAUUUGGAUUCCUAACUACUCCCACAUUUUGCGGUGCAGUUUAACCAAAACCGGGUAUCCUAUAGUCGUGAUUCAUAUCGAGCCCUUCUGGGAAUUAGCACGCGUCUACGAUGAGUCUACGAUUUAAAAAAAAAAUUACCAUCAUUUUUUUCCAUUUUUUUCGCUAUUAUAUAAGGGAAGUAACUCUCUAAAAAUGUCUACGAUGAGUCAACGAUUUUUAAAAAAAUUUACCAUAAUUUUUUUUAUAUUUUUAAUGCAUUUUUUUGCUAUUUUUUGGCUAUAACUCUCUAAAAAUGCUUAUAUAGUUAUUUCCCUUACAAACCCAAGCAACGCCGGGCGAUACUGCUAGUAUUAUAUAUUAUACAUACAUAUUAACACUUUACAGUAUACUUACAUAUAUAUAUAUAUAUAUAUAUACAUCUAUACAUCGUUCUAAAACAACAGGAAUACUAAAGGAAGGCUGGAAUUUAAGAGAAGAGAAAACCAAAAGAUCUCAUGCUAUUCAUUGAAAAAUUCCUGAGUAGAACUUAUUAUAACCUCCGCCUUUGAAACUAUUUUGAAUGGUAAAUUUGUUAACUUUGGCUUGUAUUAGAUAAGGAUAAACUAUUUAUUAGUGUUACUAAAUUCUCUACAGCCACCUUCACAUUCCACGAUGACCAUUGGGGAUUAGGACAAGGAUUACUCUUUACUCUUUUACUUGUUUCAGGCAUUUGACUGCGGCCAUGCUGGAGCACCGCCUUUAAUCGAGCAACUCGACCCCGGCACUUAUUCUUUGUAAGGCCUGUACUUACUUAUUCUAUCGGUCUGUUUUGCCGAACCGCUUAGUGACAGGGACAUAAACACACCAGCAUCGGUUGUCAAGCAAUGCUAGGGGGACAAGCACAGACAUACAAACACACACACAUACAUAUAUAUAUGUAUAUAUAUAUACAUAUAUACGACAGGCUUCUUUCAGUUUCCGUCUACCAAAUCCACUCACAAGGCUUUGGUCGGCCCGAGGCUGUAGUAGAAGACACUUGCCCAAGGUGCCACGCAGUGGGACUGAGCCCAGAACCAUGUGGUUGGUAAACAAGCUAGUUACCACACAGCCACUCCUGGGACUAGAUUCUGGAUACUUUUUUAAAAUAUUUUUCUUUUUAUUUAAUUUUUGAGAGCAGUCAGGUUCAUUUUUAAUAUUCUCGUUUGUGAGAGCAGUUGAGUUUAUUUCAGAUAUUCUCAUUUUAAAAACCAUUUCUGGCUAAUCGUUGAGAGGACAUUGGUGUUGCCUUGGUGGAGGUCUGCUCUCUGCAUGCUCUUGUUAUUUAUUAUUUGUUUAUUUUAUUGAUUAUUUUUCUUCUUUUUUGCAGUUCCAUCUAUUUUGUGAUGAAAGCCAUGCCUGACAGUGGGCCUAAAAACAGCAAUGGCUGGAGACGCUACCACCUGCGUCGUAUCGGUCCAAAAGCCAGCAAACAGGGAGUAGCAGAUAUCAUGGAG
rnacentral:lncRNA from 1 species